rnacentral:ncRNA from 2 species
UGUCGCCGGGCUGGCUACGAUUGGCGGCGAACUCGAUGUGGAAGCCGGUGUGAAACCGGCGCGGUCGCGCCACUGUGAGGAUCCGGUGUUCAUUGGCCGGUCCGAGCCAGACCCACGUCGUCAGGCCGAGAAGCCU